GAUGAACGCUGGCGGCGUGCUUAACACAUGCAAGUCGAACGAAGCACUUAAGAUUGAUUCUUCGGAUGACGUCUUUUGUGACUUAGUGGCGGACGGGUGAGUAACGCGUGGGUAACCUGCCUCACACAGGGGGAUAACAGUUAGAAAUGACUGCUAAUACCGCAUAACCCGAUAGGAUCGCAUGAUCCAGACGGAAAAGAUUUAUCGGUGUGAGAUGGACCCGCGUCUGAUUAGCUAGUUGGUGAGGUAACGGCCCACCAAGGCGACGAUCAGUAGCCGGCCUGAGAGGGUGAACGGCCACAUUGGGACUGAGACACGGCCCAAACUCCUACGGGAGGCAGCAGUGGGGAAUAUUGCACAAUGGGGGAAACCCUGAUGCAGCGACGCCGCGUGAGUGAAGAAGUAUUUCGGUAUGUAAAGCUCUAUCAGCAGGGAAGAAAAUGACGGUACCUGACUAAGAAGCCUCGGCUAACUACGUG
rnacentral:rRNA from 1 species